UGACUUGAAUUAACUACGUUUUUAAUGAAAUUUAUUAAAACAACGCAGUUUUAGGGCAACCCUACUUCCUGAAAUGCUUUGCUCCGCCUCUCUUCUUUACAUUGAUGGAAGCCAAUCACAGUGCAGAUUUUUAAAGCGGAAAUGACGCAAACUUUGUUUUGACCAAUGUAAUUUGCUGAAAGAGGUAAACGUCUGCCUCCUUCAUGCGGAUUAAUAUGCCUCCAAUGGGGAACAUAUAGCCUGCGAAUAAUUUUUGUGUGUUCUAGUUUAUUAGCGUUCUGUCUUCAUAUUGGACGGGUGUAGCUUACGGCAGGUAGCCGGCAGAUAGCCUAUUGGUUAGAACGUUGGACUAGUAACCGAAAGGUUGCAAGAUCGAAUCCCCGAGCUGACAAGUUGUUUAUUAGACAUUUGAUCCGUUCAGCAAUAUGGACGGCGAUUUAUUCAUGGAAUGUGAGGAGGAGGAGCUGGAGCCAUGGCAACAGAUGUAUGAUGACGUGGAGGAGGAGUUGGAAUUCAUAGAGGGCGACAACGACAGCGGUGAGCAUGCCCAUUGGCCAACUAUUGCCACAGAGACAGACUGACACACCCUUUUGACUGUCAUCUUGGUGACGGACUGAUCACUGCGUUCCUUGUCAUGGUCUGAACAUGUAUCAAUGGUCAAUGACCCAGUCAUAUAGUCGGUUAGCAUAAGACACGCGUCAAACUCAUUCUACGGAGAGCCGAGAAUCUGCGGGUUUUCGCUCCUCCCUUGUACUUGAUUGAUCAAAUCAAAUUUUAUUUGUCACAUACGCCGAAUAAAACAGGUGUAGUAGACCUUACAGUUAAAUACUUACUUACAAGACCUUAACCAACAAUGCAGUUUUUUAAAAAUACCUGAAAAAU